AUCCAGCUGAUCAGUCCCAAAUAGUACAAAACGCGCGUCCUGGAU
rnacentral:hammerhead_ribozyme from 1 species